rnacentral:tRNA from 1 species
GCCGGGAUAGCUCAGUUGGUAGAGCAGAGGACUGAAAAUCCUCGUGCCACCAGUUCAAAUCUGGUUCCUGGCAU